rnacentral:rRNA from 1 species
UUAACACAUGCAAGUCGAACGCUGAAGCACCAGCUUGCUGGUGUGGAUGAGUGGCGAACGGGUGAGUAAUACGUGAGUAACCUGCCCUUGACUCUGGGAUAAGCCCGGGAAACUGGGUCUAAUACUGGAUGCUACAUGUCACCGCAUGGUGGUGUGUGGAAAGGGUUUACUGGUCUUGGAUGGGCUCACGGCCUAUCAGCUUGUUGGUGAGGUAAUGGCUCACCAAGGCGACGACGGGUAGCCGGCCUGAGAGGGUGACCGGCCACACUGGGACUGAGACACGGCCCAGACUCCUACGGGAGGCAGCAGUGGGGAAUAUUGCACAAUGGGCGAAAGCCUGAUGCAGCGACSCCGCGUGAGGGAUGACGGCCUUCGGGUUGUAAACCUCUUUCAGCAGGGAAGAAGCCACAAGUGACGGUACCUGCAGAAGAAGCGCCGGCUAACUACGUGCCAGCAGCCGCGGUAAUACGUAGGGCGCAAGCGUUGUCCGGAAUUAUUGGGCGUAAAGAGCUCGUAGGCGGUUUGUCGCGUCUGCUGUGAAAGCCCGGGGCUUAACCCCGGGUGUGCAGUGGGUACGGGCAGACUAGAGUGCAGUAGGGGAGACUGGAAUUCCUGGUGUAGCGGUGGAAUGCGCAGAUAUCAGGAGGAACACCGAUGGCGAAGGCAGGUCUCUGGGCUGUUACUGACGCUGAGGAGCGAAAGCAUGGGGAGCGAACAGGAUUAGAUACCCUGGUAGUCCAUGCCGUAAACGUUGGGCACUAGGUGUGGGGGACAUUCCACGUUUUCCGCGCCGUAGCUAACGCAUUAAGUGCCCCGCCUGGGGAGUACGGCCGCAAGGCUAAAACUCAAAGGAAUUGACGGGGGCCCGCACAAGCGGCGGAGCAUGCGGAUUAAUUCGAUGCAACGCGAAGAACCUUACCAAGGCUUGACAUAUACCGGAUCGUUCCAGAGAUGGUUCUUCCCCUUUGGGGUCGGUAUACAGGUGGUGCAUGGUUGUCGUCAGCUCGUGUCGUGAGAUGUU